UGGGGAAUAUUGGACAAUGGGGGCAACCCUGAUCCAGCCAUGCCGCGUGUGUGAAGAAGGCCUUCGGGUUGUAAAGCACUUUCAGUGAGGAAGAAGGCCUGCGGGUUAAUAGCCGGCAGGAAGGACAUCACUCACAGAAGAAGCACCGGCUAACUCCGUGCCAGCAGCCGCGGUAAUACGGAGGGUGCGAGCGUUAAUCGGAAUUACUGGGCGUAAAGCGCGCGUAGGUGGCUUGAUAAGCCGGUUGUGAAAGCCCCGGGCUCAACCUGGGAACGGCAUCCGGAACUGUCAGGCUAGAGUGCAGGAGAGGAAGGUAGAAUUCCCGGUGUAGCGGUGAAAUGCGUAGAGAUCGGGAGGAAUACCAGUGGCGAAGGCGGCCUUCUGGACUGACACUGACACU
rnacentral:rRNA from 1 species